CCGCCUACGGGCGGCUGCAGUGGGGAAUUUUGGACAAUGGGCGCAAGCCUGAUCCAGCCAUGCCGCGUGUGGGAAGAAGGCCUUCGGGUUGUAAACCACUUUUGUCAGGGAAGAAACGGCCUUUUCUAAUACAAGGGGCUAAUGACGGUACCUGAAGAAUAAGCACCGGCUAACUACGUGCCAGCAGCCGCGGUAAUACGUAGGGUGCAAGCGUUAAUCGGAAUUACUGGGCGUAAAGCGUGCGCAGGCGGCUUUGCAAGACAGAUGUGAAAUCCCCGGGCUCAACCUGGGAACUGCAUUUGUGACUGCAUGGCUAGAGUGCGGCAGAGGGGGAUGGAAUUCCGCGUGUAGCAGUGAAAUGCGUAGAUAUGCGGAGGAACACCGAUGGCGAAGGCAAUCCCCUGGGCCUGCACUGACGCUCAUGCACGAAAGCGUGGGGAGCAAACAGGAUUAGAUACCCUAGUAGUCGG
rnacentral:rRNA from 1 species